rnacentral:rRNA from 1 species
GACGUAGGUGGCGAACGUUAUCCGGAAUUACUGGGCGUAAAGGGCUUGUAGGUGGCCAACUAAGUCAAACGUGAAAUCCCUCGGCUUAACCGGGGAACUGCGUCUGAUACUGGAUGGCUUGAGUUUGGGAGAGGGACGCGGAAUUCCAGGUGUAGCGGUGAAAUGCGUAGAUAUCUGGAGGAACACCGGUGGCGAAGGCGGCGUCCUGGACCAAUACUGACACUGAAAAGCGAAAGCCAGGGGAGCAAACGGG